rnacentral:lncRNA from 1 species
GGGUUCUUUUCAGCGUUUAGACACUAGCGCUUCCACUGAUCCAGACACGGGUAGAGAACUGUUAUGGUGACUAGGAGUCUUGUACUGAGGGUGAGAAAUAAUUUGGAAGAGUCAGGCUCUGAAAAAUCAGGGCAGGAAGCCUAAUUCCAUGUUUGAACGCGGAGGAUCCACUCCUUCAAUUCCUCACUGGCACGACUGUGGUUUAGGAAGUCUGUGGUUAUCAUUGGAUAAAAAAGAUAUCAAUUUGUAAGUAGCUCCGCCUUAGCCCCAGGGUGCUCUGGGAUUUGUGGUCCCGGACGCUAAGGUCCUAAAGAAUAAGUGUGGUGGUUGCUGUAGUUUUUCCACAUUGUUCUUAAUACCUGUUGACGUUUAUUGUGGUUUUGAUGUGAUGCGUUGUGCUUUUAUCCUUUCGUAUAUCAGCACUGUUAAAGGCAAAGAUAAAAUUGAAAAAUGUCACGUGUGCUCAUAAAAGAUAAAUGUUAGUGUUUUCAAGAAACUUGUUUACUGACUGAUGUGCCAGGCACUCUGCUAGGUGUUCAUAGUUAGUGUGCAUUAAAAUUGUUUGUAAAUUUUUGCUAUUACAACAAAACCGCCUUUAAUUUUCAUAUGGGUGACCAUUGAAAAUAUUUGAACAGCCUGGUGCGGUGGGUUGUGCACGCCUGUAAUCCCAGCGGUUGGGGAGCCUGAGGCAGGAGGAUCUUGAGUUCAAAGCCAGCCUGAGCAACUUUCCGAUGCCCUAAGCAACUCAACGAGACCCUGUCUCUGAUAAAAUAUAAAAAGGGCUGGAGAUGUGGCUUGGUGAUUAAGUACUCCUUUGGUUCAAUGCCUGGUACCCCCAAAAAAGCAAUUUUUCUAGAUUUAAAAGUUACACUUUAUAGGAUUAAGCUAAUAAAAAAAAGGCUCUUAUGACUGAUGGUUGGAAUUACUUCAUCUUUGUUUAAAAAAUAAAAUUAUUUUAAAAAAUCUUGUCCUGUAUUUUUCUUCAAAAUCAUUAGAGGUUUCAGGUUGUAUGUAAAUGGAACAUUACAGAUGUAACUCUUUAUUCCCAAUAAAUGAAGUGUCACGUUGGAUGAAAAACCACUUUAGUUCUCCUUUAAUAUUCUGUGCAGUAUACUAAGUGAAAUGUAUCAUUACAGUAA